GGCUGGAUCACCUCCUAACAGGGAGACAAACAAAGGUCUUGAUGCUUGAUCCAAUUUUGUGGUAAGCCGAGAUCCUGUCAUCUCGAAGGUCGAUCGGUACCUCACGUUGCCAGCCAGGGUCAGCGUUACCUCGUUUGAGGAUGCGCAAGUGAUCUGGCGUGCAAUGAUCAGUUCCUAAACUUUGUCUAGGUCACCCCAGAGCGGGUAAACUCCUGGGCCAUUAGCUCAGGUGGUUAGAGCGCACCCCUGAUAAGGGUGAGGUCCCUGGUUCAAGUCCAGGAUGGCCCAUUCAGCGCCUGCGUAGCAGGCUGGACUUGAUGGCUGGGGGUUUAGCUCAGUUGGUAGAGCGCCUGCUUUGCAAGCAGGAUGUCAGCGGUUCGAGUCCGCUAACCUCCACUGAACGCGGCCCCACAGACAGGACCAGGAGUCCUGCGGGAUGAUCUAGCGGCGGUAAGCGCUGGAGCGAACGGAUUGAUUUCAGCCUCCACCCAUUCCCUUAGGGGUUGGAUGGAUGCUGAACUCAGCAUCGCUUGAGCCAUCGAUGAGAUGGUUCAAGGGAUGUGUGUUCAGCGAGAACCUUGACAACUGCAUAGGUGAGUCUGGAAAGAAAGCAUCUCAUGGAUGCUCCAGUGCAAUGGAGGCGAUCAGGCCGCAAGCCUGAUGGAAGCCGUUGUGCUGGAGAGAUUCAAUGAGAAGAAGAGCCGAGCACGGCAACCGUAUCUGACCUCUCGAGCAGAGGUGGCCAGAGUCUGGGUGAUCAAAAGCCUAGGCGGUUGAGCGUGCCAAUGGUCAAGCUACAAAGGGCUCAC
rnacentral:tRNA from 1 species